GCCCGGGGGAGAGCGGAGCGUGCCGAUCAGCAGUUCGUCUCUGAUGGCUGAUCUCCGCAGCUCCAUAUUAGAAACGUGAGACGGAAUAAGAAACCAUUAAAAGGCUCCGGCCAGUACAAAAAGCGCGCUCAUCUCACCUUACGAAAUAAAUGGACUGCAUGGAAGAGGCAAAUUCAGUGAGAAUGCAAGAACUAAGCAAUAAUCCUCCAAAAGACUCUAAUAUGGAACAGGAACUUCAAUACCCAUUUAAAAAAAUUCUCUUGUAUGCCAAGAUGGCAUAUUUGAUAACUCAGCCAGAAAUAGGCUUCCGGUCUGGCU